UGAGUUAGAGUAAACUGUCAAGACUUAAAACUUACUUACUUUACCUCCACCAUGGGACUUGUAACUGUCACUUCUGUCUUGAGUGGUUAAAAGAUAGAACGGUCUAGCCAAGUGCCAUGUCUCUUAUUCUUGAUCAGCUAUAGCUCUGGGGUUUUUGUAGAUUUUCAAAUAAAACUCAGAGAUUCCUUGUAUGAUUCUCUCAGGUCUCUCUUUUGUGGUAUUUCUGGAUCCUUACCAAGGCAUUGAUGGUAUAUGCCUUCUCUCAAGAUAUGUGGUAUUUGUGGUAUGAGGCAUAGUGAUAUUGCCUUCUCUCUCACCCUACUCUACUAAGGCUUUAAUAUCUGGAGCUCAUAGGUGGGAGAUAAAGUAUACAUACUUACAAGACAUUUAUUGCAUAGUCAAACCAUGGAUCCAAAGUAACAAGUCAAUAAGUUUAAUCAAGAUGUGCAUGUGUGGCGAAUGAAUGGUAUAUGGUGAUGAUGGUGAUAACAAUGGUGAAAACAAUGGUGGUGGAAGUCUAAUUCUACUUUGCUCUUUUGAGGGGAUACAUACCUUCCUUGCUUUUGAAACUUUAUGAUGAGAAUGAGAUGCUCUUCUUUUUCUUUUCUCUCAGGUGGGUAUCUUGCACCCCUAAUUCUACUGUCGGACACUUGUCCAUUUUUACCUCUCGUCUCACUUUUUCUUUUCUUUCGAGGUUCCGAGCACUUGCUCCUUUUUAUUUCCUCGUAUUAUUUCUUCUUUUUUUUAGAGCAUUCAUCUCUUGAGAUAAUAUAGCAAGUGGUAGUAACAAGAUAACUUGAGCAUUUAUCUCACAAGGGGAAAACAGAAAUAUUUUUGGUUAUUCUCUCCCGGAUUAGGAGCAGAAUAUUUUUGGGUGAUUCUGGAGAUGGAAUGGGUGGAUAUAUGUGGAUGGUACUUCCGGAGUAGAAGUAGCAUAUAUGAGUGAACGUGCAAGUGAAAUCUUGAUUUAACCACAUGACAAGCUCCUAAGGGUCUACAGAGCUUGACCACACUCAAUGCUCAUAAGCAGUAAAUAAUAAAUGUUUGGCUCAAAGUCUAGCAAGCAUGUAUAUAUGGCUGUGGUAGGAAUUUAAACUCUCAUCAUACAGGAACUCAUCAUGCAACAUUUUAAAGAUUUUCAAAGAUAAAAUUCUCCAGAAUUCUAGCAUCUCUAGG
rnacentral:lncRNA from 1 species